rnacentral:rRNA from 1 species
AUUGAACGCUGGCGGCAUGCUUUACACAUGCAAGUCGAACGGUAACAGGUCUUCGGAUGCUGACGAGUGGCGAACGGGUGAGUAAUACAUCGGAACGUGCCUAGUAGUGGGGGAUAACUACUCGAAAGAGUAGCUAAUACCGCAUGAGAUCUACGGAUGAAAGCAGGGGACCUUCGGGCCUUGUGCUACUAGAGCGGCUGAUGGCAGAUUAGGUAGUUGGUGGGGUAAGGGCUUACCAAGCCUGCGAUCUGUAGCUGGUCUGAGAGGACGACCAGCCACACUGGGACUGAGACACGGCCCAGACUCCUACGGGAGGCAGCAGUGGGGAAUUUUGGACAAUGGGCGAAAGCCUGAUCCAGCAAUGCCGCGUGCAGGAUGAAGGCCCUCGGGUUGUAACUGCUUUUGUACGGAACGAAAAGCCUGGGGCUAAUAUCCCCGGGUCAUGACGGUACCGUAAGAAUAAGCACCGGCUAACUACGUGCCAGCCGCCGCCGUAA